CAGUCGCCGCGGGAAUACGAAGGGUGCAAGCGUUAAUCGGAAUUACUGGGCGUAAAGCGUGCGUAGGCGGUGAGUUAAGUCUGCUGUGAAAUCCCCGGGCUCAACCUGGGAAUGGCAGUGGAUACUGGCUCGCUAGAGUGUGUCAGAGGAUGGUGGAAUUCCCGGUGUAGCGGUGAAAUGCGUAGAGAUCGGGAGGAACAUCAGUGGUGAAGGCGGCCAUCUAGGACAACACUGACGCUGAGGCACGAAAGCGUGGGGAGCAAACGGGAUUAGAUACCCCUGUAGUCCCUGUCUCUUAUAC
rnacentral:rRNA from 1 species